GAGAUGAGUCUGCCUCUGACCUGGGGACCCUGGAGUGAUUCCCUGUCGCUGUCCAUCAAAAUCAGGAGCUCAGAAAAUUUUUUUUACACCAUCUGACUGAAGAACUCACCUCCACUCCCUUUUUAUCUCCAACCAUUCCAUUUCCUGCUCCUUCAAUUAUGUUGCACAAGACUGGAUGUAGAAAGAAGAUCUGGAUGAUCCUUUACCCCUAGGAUCAGACGCAGUAGGUCAGUGAAUGAAUAGGUAAAACCUUUCUUAUUGUAUCUGGCUGUAUCUCCUCCUAUACCCCCUCCUUUUCCUAUUGCCAUAAUUUCCUAAGGUGAGGCAAGGACAAGCCUGACCAGACCCCUCUGACCACCAGCCUCAGCCAAAUCCACUUUGCAGAAUCAUUUGCGAAACCCACACACAAUGGAUCCUACAGACACUGAGAAGAUGUUUAGGAAUGCCUG